AUGGGAAGUUAUUGGACUGACUCUUCAAUCGAACGGAAGAGAUCUUGGCCCAGUAAAGCACCAGAGCCGCCUCCCCUCUGCAAUCCCAGAGCCGGCUGGCACGCAGGCCUGGGCCAGACCCCAAGCUGGCCACGCAGCAUGGGUUUCCACGGUAACGUCCACGGGUCCCCUCGGUCUAAUAAUACAGCGGGCAGCGCCGGGUGUGACGGGCUGGGCCAUGCAGAUGCCAGACCUUGAAAACGAAUCCUCCCCGAGUAGCUCGGAGCUAGCGGCUAGGAAAGCUAACUGCACCAUGGAGAUCUCACGCAGUCUGCAUGAAAGGAAUGAGCGGAUUAGAGCUGCUGAGUGACGUUAUGUGAAAAGCACCACAUUUGCUGAUCCAAGUUCUGGCUGGCCUUGAACUCACUUUGUGGCUCAACCUUCUCUCAAACUCGCAAAGAACCUCCUGCUUCAGCCACCCAAGCACUGGUAUUACAGGCGUGCGCCACCACGCCCGGCUCAGAAUCUGUGUUUCUAAAAGGAAAAAAAAAAAUCUUCACUGUGGAUUUGAAGUAACAACACGGCCAAACUAAAGCUGAGUAACGACCCCAUCCCGGCUUAGGGCAGGCUGGAAAAGAGGCUCUGGGACUGUCUGCCGCUGGGCGGCAGCAGAGAGCUCUGAAACGCAAAGGCCUGGGCGCUCUCGCCCAACUGCCCGGCGGCUCACACCUCUGGCCAGCAGCUGGGUGCGUUUUCCCUGCAGACAGACAUCGAGACACUGAGCGAGGGUCACAUCUCCCAAGCACACCAUGCAGACACCACCGCGCCUUCAGCACAGCACACAGAUCGAAUCACGGCACACUGUGCUUAAAACCCAGCCUUCCAGAACCCGCGUGCGCCCUCUGCAGUGCGGAGACCUGGGAAGGCAAAAUCCUCCACAUCCCCCAAACGCUGCUCCUUCCAAAUCAGCAUUACCAACUUAAGUAUUGUGGACGGGUCUCCAAUCUUAUCAUCCACAUUAGACACAGGGCCAAGGAAAACAAAAGGCAAGCACUGAGAAUUAAGGGUAAGUCAAGGCUGACUGGGGGUCAAAAACCCCCAAACUGGUAUUCAGUAAAGACUGGGCAACUUGAACUGGACCUUGAGCCAUCUGAUCCACACCUCAGCUACUUCAGAGUCACGCAAGAAAGCAAGAAUCUGAAGAUACCAGCCGCUCUGUCCCAGGCCUCGGCCUCACCGCAGGAGCACAGUCUGGGAUUUGAGCUCAGGAAGCCUGGCGAAUGUGUGAUCCUCCUCUACUUCAGCCUCCCAAUGUUACAGCAUUACAGGCCUCACGUCCGCCAAGUAAGGCGACCGGGCUCGGCCGCGGCUCCCAACACCUUACCUAAAGUGGCCUGUGUGAUUUACUCACCUGAAGUUCACUUAUAAAUAAAAUGCAAUCAAAACGACAUUGCACAUCUAGAAGACUGCAGCAAAACCUUGACGACCCAAGGAAAACAAUGUCUGAUUCCAAACUUCCCUUCCACCCUUCUGAGGAAAUGAUUAGAAGACCAGCUAUCAUUACUCACAGGGAGUAAAUCAAAGCAGGAGAAGAUGUGAGGCUGAGGGUAUGGGGGAUCCAUCACAAAACAGAAUAAGCGCAAGACAGAAAUUCCUCAGGAUGGUGAAGCUCCAGGGCUCAUCAUGGCCACAGAGUAAUACAUUGAGUUUAAAGAAGGGGGACUUUAAUGAGGAGUUCUGAGCACCACUCACCCCUUGGGGUAAAAUAAAAUUGGUAGGUGAGCACGUUAGACUAUUAAUUGUAACUACUUUAUCUAAAAUAUAUUUAUAAGUGUGACCUAUCUGAUAGAGCACUGAAAUAAUUAGUAAAAAUCUCAGAAGUUUUUUAAAAUGAUUAACUUUAGAUAAAAUAUAUAAAAAUGGAAAUGCAAUCGUGUACCAAGUAAUAUUUUCAUAGUAAUAAUAAUGUAAAUGACACUGGUGAGGUGAUAUGUUUAUGAAACAUUAUAUGUAUGUACUUUAAACACUUAUUUAAAGUGAUGGGAGGAGCAGGAUAUAUCCAGGAAUAGUCAAACACAAACAAGAGGGAGCUGAUGGUUAUUGAAACUGAGUGAAGAAUGUAAUGACAUUUAUCAUCCCAUCUGUUCUUGUUUGUAUAUGAAAAUUGUCGUGAAAAGUUGAGAUUAUAACCAUUUAUAUCGUAA